rnacentral:rRNA from 1 species
GAUGAACGCUGGCGGCGUGCCUAAUACAUGCAAGUCGAGCGAAGCGGGGACGGGGGAGUAACACGUGGAUAACAUCCUAUAAGACUGGGAUAACUUCGGGAAACCGGAGCUAAUACGGAUACUUAUAGCUGGAGCCGCUCUGCAUUAGCUAGGUGGUUAGGUAACGGCGUACCCAGGCAACGAUGCAUAGCCGACCUGAGAGGUUGAUCGGCCACACUGGAACUGAGACACGGUCCAGACUCCUACGGGAGGCAGCAGUGGGGAAUCUUCCGCAAUGGGCGAAAGCCUGACGUAGCAACGCCGCGUGAGUGAUGAAGGUCUUCGGAUCGUAAAACUCUGUUAUUAGGGAAGCGGUACCCAAUCAGAAAGCCACGGCUAACUACGUGCCAGCAGCCGCGGUAAUUC